rnacentral:rRNA from 1 species
AUACGGAGGAUCCGAGCGUUAUCCGGAUUUAUUGGGUUUAAAGGGUGCGCAGGCGGGAGAUUAAGUCGGCGGUGAAAUUUUGCAGCUCAACUGUAAAAGUGCCUUCGAUACUGGUUUCCUUGGGUGUGGAUGAAGUAGGCGGAAUUUGUGGUGUAGCGGUGAAAUGCUUAGAUAUCACGAGGAACUCCGAUUGCGCAGGCAGCUUACUAAACCACUACUGACGCUCAGGCACGAAGGCGUGGGGAUCAAACAGGAUUAGAUACCCUGGUAGUCCACGCAGUAAACGAUGAUUACUGGCUGUUUGCGAUACAAUGUAAGCGGCUGAGCGAAAGCGUUAAGUAAUCCACCUGGGGAGUACGUUCGCAAGAAUGAAACUCAAAGGAAUUGACGGGG